rnacentral:rRNA from 1 species
AGAAUGGCGGCUCUACCAUGCAAGUCGACGGUGAACACGGAGCUUGCUCUGUGGGAUCAGUGGCGAACGGGUGAGUAACACGUGAGCAACCUGCCCCUGACUCUGGGAUAAGCGCUGGAAACGGCGUCUAAUACUGGAUAUGUGACGUGACCGCAUGGUCUGCGUUUGGAAAGAUUUUUCGGUUGGGGAUGGGCUCGCGGCCUAUCAGCUUGUUGGUGAGGUAAUGGCUCACCAAGGCGUCGACGGGUAGCCGGCCUGAGAGGGUGACCGGCCACACUGGGACUGAGACACGGCCCAGACUCCUACGGGAGGCAGCAGUGGGGAAUAUUGCACAAUGGGCGAAAGCCUGAUGCAGCAACGCCGCGUGAGGGAUGACGGCCUUCGGGUUGUAAACCUCUUUUAGCAGGGAAGAAGCGAAAGUGACGGUACCUGCAGAAAAAGCGCCGGCUAACUACGUGCCAGCAGCCGCGGUAAUACGUAGGGCGCAAGCGUUAUCCGGAAUUAUUGGGCGUAAAGAGCUCGUAGGCGGUUUGUCGCGUCUGCUGUGAAAUCCCGAGGCUCAACCUCGGGCCUGCAGUGGGUACGGGCAGACUAGAGUGCGGUAGGGGAGAUUGGAAUUCCUGGUGUAGCGGUGGAAUGCGCAGAUAUCAGGAGGAACACCGAUGGCGAAGGCAGAUCUCUGGGCCGUAACUGACGCUGAGGAGCGAAAGGGUGGGGGAGCAAACAGGCUUAGAUACCCUGGUAGUCCACCCCCGUAAACGUUGGGAACUAGUUGUGGGGUCCAUUCCACGGAUUCCGUGACGCAGCUAACGCAUUAAGUUCCCCGCCUGGGGAGUACGGCCGCAAGGCUAAAACUCAAAGGAAUUGACGGGGACCCGCACAAGCGGCGGAGCAUGCGGAUUAAUUCGAUGCAACGCGAAGAACCUUACCAAAGGCUUGACAUAUACGAGAACGGGCCAGAAUGGUCAACUCUUUGGACACUCGUAACAGGUGGUGCAUGGUUGUCGUCAGCUCGUGUCGUGAGAUGUUGGGUAGUCCGCACGAGCGCAACCCUCGUCUAUGUUGCCAGCACGU